AUUGAACGCUGGCGGCAGGCCUAACACAUGCAAGUCGAACGAGUGGCGGACGGGUGAGUAAUGUCUGGGAAACUGCCCGAUGGAGGGGGAUAACUACUGGAAACGGUAGCUAAUACCGCAUACCAUCGGAUGUGCACAGAUGGGAUUAGCUAGUAGGUGGGGUAACGGCUCACCUAGGCGACGAUCCCUAGCUGGUCUGAGAGGAUGACCAGCAAAACUGGAACGGAGACACGGUCCGGACUCCUACGGUAGGCAGCAUGGGGGAAUAUUGCACAAUGGGCGCAAGCCUGAUGCAGCCAUGCCGCGUGUAUGAAGAAGGCCUUCGGGUUGUAAAGUACUUUCAGCGAGGAGACGUUACUCGCAGAAGAAGCACCGGCUAACUCCGUGCCAGCAGCCGCUGUAAUUC
rnacentral:rRNA from 1 species